AGAGUUUGAUCAUGGCUCAGGACGAACGCUUGCGGCGUGCCUAAGAAAUGCAAGUCGAACGGGGUAGCAAUACCCAGUGGCGAACGGUCGCGUAACACGUAAGCAACCUGCCCUAAAGUGGGGGAUAACGUUCCGAAAGGGACGCUAAUACCGCAUGUGGUUGUUUUCCGGCAUCGGGGAACAACUAAAGAUUUAUCGCUUUAGGAUGGGCUUGCGGCCUAUCAGGUAGUUGGUGAGGUAAUGGCUCACCAAGCCGACGACGGGUAGCUGGUCUGAGAGGACGAUCAGCCGGAUUGGGACUGAGAUACGGCCCAGACUCCUACGGGGGGCAGCAAUUAGGAAUCUUGCACAAUGGGGGAAACCCUGAUGCAGCGACGCCGCGUGAAGGAUGAAGGAUUUCGGUCUGUAAACUUCUUUUGUUUGCGAAGAAGAAUGUGACGGUAGCAAGCGAAUAAGCCCCGGCUAACUACGUGCCAGCAGCCGCGGUAAUUC
rnacentral:rRNA from 1 species